rfam:Mus musculus chromosome 16 genomic contig, GRC reference assembly alternate locus group 129S6/SvEvTac.
GGAGAGAUGGCUCAGUGGUUAAGAGCACUGACUGCUCUUCCAGAGGUCCUGAGUUCAAUUCCCAGUACCUACA